rnacentral:rRNA from 1 species
UGGGGAAUAUUGCACAAUGGGCGCAAGCCUGAUGCAGCCAUGCCGCGUGUGUGAAGAAGGCCUUCGGGUUGUAAAGCACUUUCAGCGGGGAGGAAGGCGAUAAGGUUAAUAACCUUGUCGAUUGACGUUACCCGCAGAAGAAGCACCGGCUAACUCCGUGCCAGCAGCUGCGGUAAUACGGAGGGUGCAAGCGUUAAUCGGAAUUACUGGGCGUAAAGCGCACGCAGGCGGUCUGUCAAGUCGGAUGUGAAAUCCCCGGGCUCAACCUGGGAACUGCAAUCGAAACUGGCAGGCUAAAGUCUUGUAGAAGGUGGUAGAAUUCCAGGUGUAGAGGUGAAAUGCGUAGAGAUCUGGAGGAAUACCGGUGGCGAAGGCGGCCCCCUGGACAUAGACUGACGCUCAGGUGCGAAAGCGUGGGGAGCAAACAGG